UAAACAUGUUGCUUUAUGCUGCACAGUGCAUUGUGCUGUGCACUGCUUUGCACCUGGUGUAAGAUAGGGCCCUUAAUGGCUGCUGAUGAUGCCAGAUGAGACAUCUUCCACUGAAGCCAAAAUUUUGAAAUUUCUUCUCUUCCUCUUAGGUGCUGCAGCCUCAGCUAAAAUGUUUUUUUCUGUUGCCUGUGUUCCAAUGGCUGUGGUCUUUGGCUUGGUUGGUCUGGUUGUUGGUCUUGUCUGCGGUGUCAUGUAUAAACGUAGUGGUGACAAUAGGGAAGAUGCAUUGCUUCGAAAUGAAUCACAGAGUGUGGAAGAACAAAAUGAGGUGGCACAGGAGGCUACUCAACUCAAAAGACAAUUUGAGGAAGUCAAGAAAGAGAAGGAGGAGUACAAGAAUGAGCUUCAGUCAGUGGUUAACAUACUGAAGGAACAGAAGAGGAAAAGUGAGGAACAGAAAGAUCAACUCAAAGAACAACUUGAGACGAACAAGAAGAAACUUCAAUCAGUGGAGACAGAAAUAAAAGAGAAAGAAAAGACACAUGACAAACCAGAGAAAUUAUUAAAACAAAAGGAACACCUAUUGCAGGCUCAGUGGAAAUUGGACAAGAAAAAGAAAAACUGUGAGCAGCAGAUACUGAACAAGGAUCAACUGCUGGAGCCCCUAGAGAUUCUGGUUGCUAAAAUAAACAGGAAUAAGGAUGUUUCAAUCUGGUUAGAUUAGCAGAUUAACAGACAAAAAAAAAAAUCAUUGUUCAUCACAAACAUUUUAUUAGCACAGCAGGGAACUGGCUUAAAAGUAAAAAUACAUAUGAAAUGAUUAAUGCCAAAACAACAGGAAAAUGAAGUGAAAAUUAAAUUUUGUGAAACAGAGUACAUUGUGCUUUGUGCUUCAGUUGUGUUUGACAUUUAUGACACUGACUUCUACGUUGAUCUUGAGAAGCCACAGAUCCCUGCUGUAAAGACUUCAGACCUGUGCCUUCGGAAACUGUUAUAAAUCACUUUUUCAUCAGUACUUGAUAUGACCAAUCUAUUAUCUGACACCUGGUUAGGGUCUGGUUACGCACCAGACCUCCCUACAGGGUUUAAGGUAUAUAUUUAGUCCUAAUUAAAAAGAGCCGUAAUUUGCUAUCAUAUAUUGCAUAUUAUGUAG
rnacentral:lncRNA from 15 species